rnacentral:rRNA from 1 species
GACGUAGGGGGCGAGCGUUGUCCGGAUUUAUUGGGCGUAAAGAGCGCGUAGGCGGCUCGUUAAGUCGGGUGUGAAAACCCGGGGCUCAACCCCGGACCUGCAUCCGAUACUGGCGGGCUCGAGGCAGGUAGGGGAGAGUGGAAUUCCUGGUGUAGCGGUGAAAUGCGCAGAUAUCAGGAGGAACACCGGUGGCGAAGGCGGCUCUCUGGACCUGUCCUGACGCUCAGGCGCGAAAGCUAGGGGAGCAAACGGG